ACAUAUUCUCGGCUUUAUAGCUAAGAUCAUGUUUUAAAACUGUUCUUAUCAGAGUAACUCCUGAUAUGCCACUAGUUGGCAAACGAGUUAAAAUGAUCGACCUCAGUUGUUUUCCUGGAGUUCCACGUUUCCAGGAGAGCAACUCUUUU